UGUCCUUGUUGCCCCAGUAGGCCUUGUCCACCUCCCCAUCUUCCAGGGGCUAUACAUAUUAAAGUUUCAAAUGCUCUUCCUAAUCCUUUGUUGGCUUGAGGCUCUCCCCUCAGGAACUGCAGGAACUCCUGGUGCCGCCUGGGCCGAUGGAUUGGACGCCCCAGCCCCUCCGUUCCUGCCCAGCCCCUGGGGCCGUGUCCAGUGGUGGCACUGCCAGCCCUGCAGGGGAAGUGGGAAGGGCCUUUGCAGGUCUUGUGGGUCACAUUUACAGCAGUGGGAUGGAGCCUGGAAACUGCCCAGAGCUGAGCCCAGGGAUUGAAAGGGACCAACCAAGGGAGGUGAAGAAAGAAGGAAGAAGGGAAGUGAGGCAGCAGCCAAGCAGCACCAAGUUGCUGUGUAAGCAGGUGAGUUGUGUUGAGGUUCCUCAGGCAGGCACUGAGGACUUUGAGGGCUCCAGACAGAGAAGACCUGGGAAGGCCCUCGGUGAAGCCCCUCAGAGACCUUCUAAGGGUAGGUGUGUGUGGUGAUAAGUGUUGGGAUUGUCCUGAAUGUGGAACAGGAAUGCAGGGAAGCAAAAUGAACCCUCCUGUAAUGCUGCCAUAUCAGCUGCAGUGGAGACACCUGUGUGUGCCCUUUGGGAUCUGAUUGCCAGGACCCCCGUGGGGCUGGGAUCAUGGCAGGGUGUUGUAAGCAAGGAAUGCCUGGCUUGGAAAACUCACCAGCUGAGUCUCAGAGGCUUCUUUGAAGAGCUGAUUUCAGGCAGCAGAAUUGGCCCCCAGGAGGGACUCUGUGCCUGCUCUCCCGUGGCUCCAAGGGAUCUCUGGCCCUUCACGCCGGCACCGAGAUUUUCUCGGGAAGGGCCUCAGAUCCCCAGACCGGUCUGGGACGCAGGCAAGAUCCCCCUGCAUUUUGGGACCAAAUUGGGCCCCUGGAGGGACAGUGCUGUUGGUGCCCCCCGGGUUGGGGCACCCCGAGGACUCCAGCGCGCACCGAAAGGAUUAUUCGGGGAGAUCCUCGGGGUGCCCGGCCCUGGGGAGCUCAAAGCAAGGUCCCUGCAAUGGAUUCAGGCAUUGCUGAGAGUAUCCCAGGGGUCCCUGUCCCUGCUAGACAUGGAGCUCUCUAAUGGGCUGGAAUUGGGUGAUAAAAGUGGUGCUCCAAGUGCCAAAGAAGUGUGGGACUGGGAUUAAGAAAUGAGCAGUGAUGGUGCAAUUGGCUGUUUUCUCUUGAAUGUGACUGUGAGAGCUGCAGGAGUGCCAGGUGUGUGUUCCAGUCCCCAGCAUUUGGUUUGCACCUGUCCUGGUCAGACACAGGUCCAACUUGCUCAGUCCUUAACACAAGAGAGGGAGAAUUAAGGACUGGCACUGUUCAGGUGAUUGGUGUGACAGGGGUCAAACUGGGAAAACACUGGGGAAUUCCUCAGUUUGUCUGUUUGCCAAACUCACCCAAACCUGUGCUAGGAAGAGAGGGACUGGAAAAGUUGAGGCAGAAAUGAAAUGGAAAACUGGGGCUAUUGACACUGUAAUUGCUGAAACUAAAUGUGUCCAAGCAGCAGCUCUUGUUGUGCAGGGAAUAACUCCUGUCAGCAGCAAGGUCCCGACUGAAGUGGUAGCUGCAGUUGUUCCUGUUGUGUGGGCCAGUGGAAUUGCAGGAGAGUGGAAGAGGGCAGAACCUGUAGGUAUUACCCCUACUGUGGGAUCUCUCCUGGUAAGGCAAACCCAGUAUUCUUUAAAAUCAGAAUGCCAGACUGGAUUGGUUGCAGGAACAGCUGAAUUUGCUCCUCCUGGUUUGCUUGUAGAAGGUGAAUGCCAGAACCUGCCAAGAAACCAAUGGCCAAGGGGAUUGAUUAGUGCAGGACCUGAGAGAACCCCCUGAAAUGACAACCUGGAGUAGUUUCCAGGAUUAGAUUGCAAAGAUGGCAUUUGCUGCAUGUCCUUGAGCAAGGAAAGCCAAGAAACCUUUGCUUUUGCAGGAGAAAAUCUGGAAAGCGGGCAGGAAGAAGAGAAGCCCCCUGACUCCUCCCUGAGCCCCAGACAGCCCCUGAACUGCCUUGCUGGGAAUGGUGGGACGGGCUGGACUCUGGAUUGCUCGCUCUGGAUGUGUGGCUCUCCCCUCAGGAACUGCAGGAACUCCUGGUGCCGCCUGGGCCGAUGGAUUGGACGCCCCAGCCCCUCCGUUCCUGCCCAGCCCCUGGGGCCGUGUCCAGUGGUGGCACUGCCAGCCCUGCAGGGGAAGUGGGAAGGGCCUUUGCAGGUCUUGUGGGUCACAUUUACAGCAGUGGGAUGGAGCCUGGAAACUGCCCAGAGCUGAGCCCAGGGAUUGAAAGGGACCAACCAAGGGAGGUGAAGAAAGAAGGAAGAAGGGAAGUGAGGCAGCAGCCAAGCAGCACCAAGUUGCUGUGUAAGCAGGUGAGUUGUGUUGAGGUUCCUCAGGCAGGCACUGAGGACUUUGAGGGCUCCAGACAGAGAAGACCUGGGAAGGCCCUCGGUGAAGCCCCUCAGAGACCUUCUAAGGGUAGGUGUGUGUGGUGAUAAGUGUUGGGAUUGUCCUGAAUGUGGAACAGGAAUGCAGGGAAGCAAAAUGAACCCUCCUGUAAUGCUGCCAUAUCAGCUGCAGUGGAGACACCUGUGUGUGCCCUUUGGGAUCUGAUUGCCAGGACCCCCGUGGGGCUGGGAUCAUGGCAGGGUGUUGUAAGCAAGGAAUGCCUGGCUUGGAAAACUCACCAGCUGAGUCUCAGAGGCUUCUUUGAAGAGCUGAUUUCAGGCAGCAGAAUUGGCCCCCAGGAGGGACUCUGUGCCUGCUCUCCCAUGGCUCCAAGGGAUCUCUGGCCCUUCACGCCGGCACCGAGAUUUUCUCGGGAAGGGCCUCAGAUCCCCAGACCGGUCUGGGACGCAGGCAAGAUCCCCCUGCAUUUUGGGACCAAAUUGGGCCCCUGGAGGGACAGUGCUGUUGGUGCCCCCCGGGUUGGGGCACCCCGAGGACUCCAGCGCGCACCGAAAGGAUUAUUCGGGGAGAUCCUCGGGGUGCCCGGCCCUGGGGAGCUCAAAGCAAGGUCCCUGCCAUGGAUUCAGGCAUUGCUGAGAGUAUCCCAGGGGUCCCUGUCCCUGCUAGACAUGGAGCUCUCUAAUGGGCUGGAAUUGGGUGAUAAAAGUGGUGCUCCAAGUGCCAAAGAAGUGUGGGACUGGGAUUAAGAAAUGAGCAGUGAUGGUGCAAUUGGCUGUUUUCUCUUGAAUGUGACUGUGAGAGCUGCAGGAGUGCCAGGUGUGUGUUCCAGUCCCCAGCAUUUGGUUUGCACCUGUCCUGGUCAGACACAGGUCCAACUUGCUCAGUCCUUAACACAAGAGAGGGAGAAUUAAGGACUGGCACUGUUCAGGUGAUUGGUGUGACAGGGGUCAAACUGGGAAAACACUGGGGAAUUCCUCAGUUUGUCUGUUUGCCAAACUCACCCAAACCUGUGCUAGGAAGAGAGGGACUGGAAA